AACGAACGCUGGCGGCAUGCCUAACACAUGCAAGUCGAACGAGACCUUCGGGUCUAGUGGCGCACGGGUGCGUAACGCGUGGGAACCUGCCCUUAGGUUCGGAAUAACUCCCCGAAAGGGGUGCUAAUACCGGAUAAUGUCUUCGGACCAAAGAUUUAUCGCCUUUGGAUGGGCCCGCGUUGGAUUAGCUAGUUGGUAGGGUAAAAGCCUACCAAGGCGACGAUCCAUAGCUGGUCUGAGAGGAUGAUCAGCCACACUGGGACUGAGACACGGCCCAGACUCCUACGGGAGGCAGGAAUGGGGGAUAAUGGAAAAUGGGCGGAAGGCUGAUCCAGCAAUGCCGCGGUAGUUAAGAAGGCCUUAGGGUUGUAAAGCUCUUUUACCCGGGAUGAUAAUGACAGUACCGGGAGAAUAAGCUCCGGCUAACUCCGUG
rnacentral:rRNA from 1 species